rnacentral:sRNA from 1 species
CUGAAGUGUUCUACAAAAUGCUUUAGUCUUAUCUUCCCAUCUGAAACAAAGUGUUUGCCCCACUGCACCCCAACUUCUCCCUUUUAUUUUUUCUGUCUCUCUCUGUCGGCAUCAUGAGACCAGAAAAUAACCCUUUGGAUCUCAACAACCUUCCCGAUGACUACUCCAGAGAUGGCAUACAACUCUUCCAAGACAGUUUCUCAUCGGAAGAAUACCAGAGAAACAAAG